rnacentral:piRNA from 1 species
UGCACAGAUUCACAGUCGAGUUGAAAUCGAU